rnacentral:rRNA from 1 species
UACGUAGGGUGCAAGCGUUGUCCGGAAUUAUUGGGCGUAAAGAGCUCGUAGGCGGUCUGUCGCGUCGGCUGUGAAAACCCGAGGCUCAACCUCGGGCCUGCAGUCGAUACGGGCAAACUAGAGUACUGCAGGGGAGACUGGAAUUCCUGGUGUAGCGGUGAAAUGCGUAGAUAUCGGGAGGAACACCUGUGGCGAAGGCGGCCCCCUGGUUGGAUACUGACGCUGAUACGCGAAAGCGUGGGGAGCAAACAGG